UACUAACUUAUAAUUGAAAGCAUACUUGCGUACGGAUGAUUUUUAUUGUAAUUUUGCUAAACUGAUUUUCAGAAUUAAUGAAAUAAAUGAAACCCCAUCUUAAGACUGCUGCUUGAUAUGCACUUAUAUAAUUAAAAACAAUAUACAUAUUUGCAUGCACAAAUUCAGAAGGUAAUCUAAAUUGGACUGCUUCUUGUGACAAAAUAUUUUAUGUCACACGAGAAAUCUUGAGAGCCCGAUUUUAUCACCAGUAGCUAGAAGAUCUUUCUGGAUUUGCUGUUUAUAUUCUCUGAAACUAAACUUUCUGUAUAUUGCUGGCUUGCUAAAGCUUUCUAUUACAGCAUCAUAAGAGGGGCAGAAGAAAUAUGCAACAGAAAACCUCUCUAUUUCUUGUUGGGCAAUCACUCUGUGUUCAACACUUCUAUAGAUAUUAUUGCUAAAUGCCUGGAAUAAGUCACCAAUGUUGAUUACCAGGGCUUCAGGAUUGUUAUUAGGUCUAACACCAACCCAUCUCCCAUCUUUCAUCAAUUGCAAUCCUCCAAUUUGAUCUUGAUAUAAUAUUGUUAGGAAAUCGCUAUCUGUGUGAGGCAACAAUCCGUAGACCUCAGAAGAGAACGGACACGGAGGAUACCUAUUCAUACGCAGAUAACUAGUGCUUGGUGUACAAUAUUUUGCAAAGAAUUUGGAUUUAACACCCAAGUUCUCAGCUAAAAUCUCAGCUAUGCUUUGAGCCAAAGUGGCUGCUGUUUGCACAAAUGCUUCAAUGGUUGAUCUGAGACUUCUAUUUUCAGAACCCAUUCUUGAGAUAUCAGCAAGAGGUAUAUGAAAAGCCUCUGACCAAGAGAAUUGCCUCAAA
rnacentral:misc_RNA from 1 species